UCGACAACCUGGCAUUCAUCCCAAGACCCCUAAUAAAUUUAAGAAGUAUAGUCGACGUUCAUGGGACCAACAAAUCAAACUCUGGAAGGUGGCUCUGCAUUUUUGGGAUCCUCCUGCUGAAGAAGGAUGUGAUUUGCAAGAAAUACACCCUGUAGACCUUGAAUCUGCAGAAAGCAGCUCCGAGCCCCAGACAAGCUCUCAGGAUGACUUUGACAUGUACUCUGGCACACCCACUAAAGUUAGACACAUGGACAGUCAAGCGGAGGACGAGUUUGAUUUGGAAGCUUGUUUAACUGAACCCUUGAGAGACUUCUCUGCCAUGAGCUAACUGCCACCUGGCGGCCAGGAAGAGAAACAGUUCCUCCCAGACCAGGUGGAAGGAUGGCCAGGCGCCAAGCAUGUGUGUGCACUUGUACCUGGUGGUUUCUCUGUUAGUAGUCCAUUAUUUCAUGACGAAUUGUUAUUUUUGCCUUACUUUCUUAAGAAACAUUAAUUUUAUGUAUAGUGAGUGUAUUUUGCAUGUUUUAAAAUUGUAAAUGGAGCUAAAUCCAAGCAAGGUUAUACUUAAAGCAAUCUUCCAGCAAGCGUAAUUGCUUAAUUCCUAUCGUCCUCCAAGAUGAGCAGACAAGUAUACUUAACUAGUUUUCCACAGGCAUCUUAAGUUGCUGCUUGUGAGAUGAAUUGUUUUGGAUUUAACCAUGUAAUCUGUGGGACCACUUGAGAGUCAGCUACUUUUAUAGGCACCAGACAAAGUACUCUGUCAGACACCUUUAAUAUCUUCAUGGAGACUUAAUUUUUGGCCUUUUAUCAAUAUGUCACAGCAGAGCUCUGAAGUCAGAUCAUUCUUAAAUUUAGCUGUUAAACUAAUGGGUUUUAUGUAAAUUAUACAGUCUUAAUUUGGUACUUGUAAAUAGCACUAGUCAGGCUCUUUAUAAUACUCUAAGAGUUGGGGCGGCAGAGCGAUUUAGAAAGAACAUUUUUAAACAGUUAAGUUACCUGUAAAAUUGCUGUAAAUGAUGAUGUGUACAGAUUUUCUGUUUAUUCAUUUGUAAACUUCUUGUUAAGACUGUUAUGUUUCUAUUGCUUUUGUAUGGGAUAUUGCAAAAAUAAAAAGAACCCUCUUUAACUGA